GUUGAUCCAUCCUUCCUCCAGGAGGCCUCGGUUGGUCUUCCUCGACUUAAAGUAGCGCAAGUCCUGCAUGUCCGUGAGACAACGUAUCAUCAGGCACUCAUGUUGGGACUGAGGCGGACGCUCCACCACCCUUCGAAAAGUGAUUGCGUGGCGCUUGCUACAUCAGCUGUCUGCAGUGUGCGGCCCUCAGUGGAAAAAGUUUGGACACCCCUGGUGUACAUGUACAACGUUGUCUGGAAUGAAAUACAAAUGUGGGCAUUUUCCAUACCAUUCUAGCACAUUCUAAUUUGGGUCAGCAAUAAAUGACUAUACCC